UACGUAGGGUGCGAGCGUUAAUCGGAAUUACUGGGCGUAAAGCGUGCGCAGGCGGUUUUGUAAGCCAGAUGUGAAAUCCCCGGGCUUAACCUGGGAAUGGCAUUUGGGACUGCAAGGCUUGAGUGCGGCAGAGGAGACUGGAAUUCCUGGUGUAGCAGUGAAAUGCGUAGAUAUCAGGAGGAACACCAAUGGCGAAGGCAGCUCGCUGGGACGGUACUGACGCUGAGGCGCGAAAGCGUGGGGAGCAAACAGG
rnacentral:rRNA from 1 species